rnacentral:pre_miRNA from 1 species
GGAGCCAUAGGGAGGGAUCCCAAUCCACCCUUAGGAAAAGAAACCUGCCAUGGGAGUCUUGGAGAUUGGUGACUGUCCUACUGACUUA